AACGAACGCUGGCGGCAGGCUUAACACAUGCAAGUCGAGCGCACCGCAAGGUGAGCGGCAGACGGGUGAGUAACGCGUGGGAAUCUACCGAGCCCUAAGGAAUAGCUCCGGGAAACUGGUAUUAAUACCUUAUACGCCCUUUGGGGGAAAGGUUUAUCGGGUUUUGAUGAGCCCGCGUUGGAUUAGCUAGUUGGCGGGGUAAAGGCCUACCAAGGCGACGAUCCAUAGCUGGCCUGAGAGGAUGAUCAGCCACAUUGGGACUGAGACACGGCCCAAACUCCUACGGGAGGCAGCAGUGGGGAAUAUUGGACAAUGGGCGCAAGCCGGAUCCAGCCAUGCCGCGUGAGUGAUGAAGGCCCUAGGGUUGUAAAGCUCUUUCACCGGUGAAGAUAAUGACGGUAUCCGGAGAAGAAGCCCCGGCUAACUUCGUGCCAGCAGUCGCCGUAAGAC
rnacentral:rRNA from 1 species